UGAAGCGGAGGUAGUAUCGAUUUCUAUGUUUGUGUAGCAAGUUGCCUAGGCUUGUUCGGUUUGGGAGACCAACACUAUUGCCAUCCUCGAAACCUUUGCCAUUGAAUUCAUAGAAGAAUGGAUUUAAGAGGAAAGACAAAAAUAGGUAAAAGACAAAAUUAUUCUGAUACAGAUCACUGAAGGAAAAAGAUGUUUAAGUUCUAUCCCUGAAUGAGAGGGACCUCAGAAGAGAACAGGAACUAAAAUUGACCUAGAAGUUUCACAGAAAGAAGACUGGAAAUUCUGCCAGCUGCUGUUCAACAUGUCUAACAAUACCUGAAAAUUUUCCUGCAGCCCUAUGUUUGCUCUCAUACUGCUAGUGACAAAUAGCCUAG